UAAAACUCUGGAGGUAACUGACAAAAACCGUACAACAUUACGAAUCUUGUUCCUUACGCAACGUAUAAAGUUAAUGUAACCGCUGGCAAUUCUGAAGGCUUUGGUAGAUCAACUACAGCUACUUUUAGAACUGCUGAAGAUGUUCCCGAAGGUCCACCUUUAAAUGUUCAAAUUGUCGCCUUAAGCAGUUCAUCGUUAUCAGUUACGUAGGAGCCACCAGACAA